UUUAUCUGUUUCGCUCAUAAAACAUAAAAAGAAAAACAAAAACAACAACAACGAACCCUAAAGACAAACCCUAGGAUAUGCUUUCUUCAUAUAGAUCGAGAGAAAAAAAAACCUAAGAACAAACCCUAGGAUAUGCUUUGUUCAUGGGAUAAUGAUGAUACAAACAAAAGAAAAACAACUAGCCAUGGGACAAAGGCUUUAUCAUUUACCGAACAAGGCGUUCUAUGUGAAAUACGCGAGCGGCUGAAAACCAGAGGAUUAAAAUCAGAAAGAAACCAAACGGGAGAUUUGUUAUCAGGUACACAAAUGGGAGUUCUCAACCAGGUAUGAAUUGGGUUUCUCUUUAUCCUCUUUGCUUUUGAUGUUCCAGAAAGGGAUAAUGACUUCUUAAUGAUUCCCGUUUUUCUGGGUUUUGCAAAUUUGGAGUUCACAACCAUUAAUCGAUCGCAUGGUUGAAAGAUCGUUGUGCUGAAACCAAUUCAAGGUCAGUUUCCUUCCCUUCCAUGAUUAAUUAAUUUUCUAUUAAUAUUACUUUUCCUUCCCGAGCAGUAACGUCUUCGUUUGAACUAUUAGUGGCUUGAAUUGUUUGGGUUUGUACUAAAAGAAACAAUAACUUUCACGUUUAGAUUUCUCAUCAGUUUUUUCUAGGGUUUUUUCUUGAUUUUCUAUACUCAUGUUUUCUUAUGGUUUCAUGAUGGUACUACUAUGGAUGACGGACAUCACGGAAGAGGAAAAAUACGAUGUUGGUGUCGUUGAUUUGUGUGGUUUUCAUGGAGUUGGAGAUGGGUCCGUGGUAACAUCAGAUUAUGAUCGUGGACAGAGUUUGGGAUGCUGUCCAUUGGUCAAAACUGUAGCAUCAAGGUAUAAUAUUUUAAUCUGAAGAUAUUUCUUAUCUUCCAUCUUGGUGGUGGUACAUUUGAAAAUAUCUCUGAGUUUAAGGCUAUGUGGAUGAAGAUUAUUAAAGUUUACGGUUACACGGGGAGUAAAACAAGUGCAUUAUAUAAAUCAUUACAUCUGGUGGUGUGCGACACUGUGAUGCUUUUCAGGUCUUCCUUGCAGAGAUCUUGAAGCUCGAUGCUGUGGCCUUGAGACAUGCUCUUGAAUCCAUAUUUUAUUCACGUUCGUGGCAGAAAUCAAAAGGAGCAUUUCAUCACUCAUAGUUUCCUUGCCGGUGGGGCUGUUUUAUCGACCAUGGACUGGGUAAGGCUGAAACAAGGAAAAACAAGUUUGGAGAUUGGAUUUAUGGAUCGGUACCAUACAGGGACAUCUGUAACAACAACAAGUAUUUCGACAGUAUCUACUUCAGCACUAUCUCAAAGACUUCAUGGAAGGCAAAAUAUUGUAAAUGAAGUUGCAAAAUAGGAAAAAUAGCCGAAAAUUUGUUCUUUUUCAUUUACAUAGAGGAACUCUUAAGGUUCAACUGAAGAAUAUCAGCAGAUUGUGCCAUGCCAAACCUAUUGUUACCGUAAAUGGAAUGUUUCCUGGACCAACAAUUCAUGCUAGAGAAGGAGAUACAGUUCUUAUAAACGUUACCAAUUGAUCAAGUCAUGGAAGAUGCUCAAGGAAAAAGCUACUUAUUACGGAUAGUCAAUGCUGCAAUCAACAACGAACUUUUCUUUGCCUUAUCCGGUCAUAAUUUCACAGUGAGGGAGAUUGAUGCAGUCUAUGUAAAUGUCUUCACAACUCAAGCUAUUUUAAUUUUUUAAUUGCACCGGGACAGACCACAAACGUUCUUGAGCCAAUUGAACUUCCAGCAAAUAUUAGGUGGAUCACAUGACAAUGUUUACUCCUGUGCAGUGAACUUAGUGCUACCAAAUCCAAGCAAACAAAGUGGCGGAUGCACCAGACAGGUGGCUCUGAAAAUAUUUACUAAUCUAAAUAGUGAAGCACCUGCAUUCACAUGACUUUUACUACUCCCAUGACUUUUGUACUCUGGCAUAGUUGGUAACUAAUCUAAAUAAUAUUUACUAAUUAUUUUCCUGGGAUGGUGAGUUAUAUGAAGCACCUGCAUUCACGUUCACUUUUGGUUAUAAUAUGUAAUAUAUAGAUUUCCUAAUGUGUAUUGAAUGUUUGCUUAAUCUUUUUGAUCUCCAUGAAUUGGAUGUGCUGAUGUGGUAACUCUUUUGUACUGCAACUAAAUCACAAAUCUUAAGCGACAGGGCGAGGCGGAGCCGCGCCAUACCAAAUCAAAAAUCCUAAGCGACGGGAGAGGCCGAGUCAAGCCAUACCAAAUUAAAAAUCCUAAACGACGGGACGAGGCGAAGCCGAGCCAUAUCAAAUAAAAAAUCCUAAGCGACGGGGGAGGCGGAACCGAGCUACUCCAAAUUAAAAAUGCACGACGGGGCGAGGCGAAGCCACGUCACACCAAACCAAGAAUAUGUUUAGAGUGAUAUUCAUUUGUUCUUCAUGAAUUGGAUGUGCCGAUGUGGUAACUCAUGUAUACGACAACUAAAAGGGGCGAGGAAGAGCCGAGCCAUACCAAACAAAAAUCCUAAGCUACGGGAUGAGGCGGAGCCAAGCCAAAUCAAAAUCCUAAGUGACUAGACGAGGCGGAACCGAACCACUCCAAAUUAAAAAUGCACGACGGGGCGAGCAAAGCCACGUCACACUAAUCCAAGAAUAUGUGUAGAGUGACAUUCAUCUAUUGUUCUCGAAUCGCCGAGCCACACCAAUUCAAAUCGGGAAGAGACAAGGCGAGACAAAGCCGAGAUUUAAUAAAUAAAAGAUAUGCGUAGGAGACUUGGACCAAGUGAUGGUAGAUGGUUCAUUCUUCGCAUCUCUUUUCUUCUCCGUCCUUUCUUUUUCUCGAUUGUCUCUGUUGUUUUUGAAAUACUAUUGAUUUAUUUUUGUUUUUCUGUCGCAGGCGAUAUACUUUGAUGGGAAUCUGUAAAAGUGGUCUAAUUAGGUGAUAUACUUUCAUAGUAUCAUAAUCUUAAACAAAUUCAUUCUUUUUGAUUUUCAUAGUAGUGAUUGUGGGUUUUAGAUCCUGUUCUUAUUAGUGUGAAGCAUAAUCAUGAAACAAAAAUUGGGCUUUGCUCCUUUUCCGUUAUUUACUUGGCUGUUUCAGUUUUGCAGACUAGGGUUUAUUGUCUUCCCGUUGUUGAUUUGUCUCCCUCACAGGUUUAUCCCCUGAUUCAAGUGAUUUGGUUUUGAAAUCACUGAUUCAGUUUAUAUCUGAUUUCUAUUCCUGAUGUGUUAGGGUUUUACUUAUUUUGAUACCAUCUUUUAAAUGUGGACUGUGAGAUCCAUGAAAAAUUUGAUGUACUCUAUCUGUUUGUUGAAAGACCUGAACCAGUGUUUUUGUUUGAUUAGCAUAUUUUUGUAAAUUUAUUAUAUAAACCCUAACCCUUUUGUUCUAUUUUGCAGCUACGAAAAAAUUAUGGUAGCAUAGAAGGGAAACUCACAACAUAAACACAGAUAUAAGACAAUUGCGUCAUUGGGGAUACCAGUUAUGGUUAUAGCUGGAAUCUUAUGUGGAGAGUUUCUGCGAGAGCUUUACAGAAUGUUUUUCAUGGAGCAGAGUCACAUAGACAUAGUUGCUGCUACUGCCACUUGACUCAGCACCACCUGUAGUGGCAGUCAAUUUUGUUUCUUUUUUCAUAGAAAUGCAGAAUGUGGUGGAUAGAAGUAUUGUAAAUAUCGGGUUACAGAACCAGCAAGCUUCCGUAGCUGUAAUGCGAGUGGAUUGCAGGUCUUCACUUUAUUGUUGUUACUAGGCUCAUGGACUGGGUGGAAGAGGAAACAUUACGUUUUGCAGAUUCGAACCGUAGUGAAGGCAUGAGAAUCUUGAGACCCAAAACCAAGAAAAAAGGGCGCACUAUCUCAUUUUUCUUGGUGUCUACACAGUAGCUCUAAUUGUAGGACUAAUAUUAAUUAUACGGGCUCGAAACAUUAUAGGAAAAGAAGGCAGCACUCAAUACAUGGAAAACAUGUUUCCACUUUACGGGUGAUUAAUCUAGGAGACUAACUACGAAAAAAUGAAUGAAGCAUUCCAGGAUACUCCUUCUAUCAAGACCGUGCACACUAAGAUGCUCCUUUAUCAAGCUAUGCUCCGUAGGUGGUUUUGCAGGUCCUGGACAUCUUUAUCAUUUGGUUUAGUUUGUUAUUGAGGAGUAUAGUGCAGCUGAAAUGCUUAGAAUGGUGUUGGUGGUAAUGAAAGCAAGAGAAGAGACAUAAAUACCUGGAAGUGGUAUUGCAGAUGAAAUGGUUUAGUUUGUUGUUGAGGAGUAUAGUGCAGCUGAAAUGCUUAGAAUGGUGUUGGUGGUAAUGAAAGCAAGAGAAGAGACAUAGAGACCUGGAAGUGGUAUUGCAGAUGAAAUGGUUCUCUUUCACAUUAAACUCAUGUAUUUCAACUAUACAGUCCAUACUACCACCAGCUGGGUGGAGUUACUUGUUCACAUCCAUCACCAGCAUACAGGCAGCAGGGAGCACAGAUAAAACAUCCCCAAGGCAGCAGCAGUUCGCAUACGCCACCACCACUCCAUUAUCAACAUGUCAUACAUUCGCCAACACCAUCAGUCCAUAUUCACCUCCACCUGCAGCUGUUUGGCUCAUGUCACUUUAUGUAUGCAAUUCAUUUACAGUAUAAGGAUGUUCUCAAAAUUCUGGAUAGAUACGAUCCUUGGGUGAAGUUUGAUGCAAUUUUGGAAAUUGAUAAAAUUUUCUUGAGUAAUCAUGCUGCUGGAUAACCCUGAUUUUUAGUUAAUACACACGUUGUGCCUACCCAGAUUCAACCACCAAAUUUUUUUGAUUUGAAAUUCAAGUUUCAAGAAUUAUAUAUUGCUGAAUGGUUAUGUCUAUCUGUCUUUUUUACAUGUAUUAUUGUGAAAUUGUGAAUUAUUCUAUAUUGAUUAUUGUAGAUUCAGUUA